AUUGAACGCUGGCGGCAGGCUUAACACAUGCAAGUCGAGCGGGGGAAGGUAGCUUGCUACUGGACCUAGCGGCGGACGGGUGAGUAAUGCUUAGGAAUCUGCCUAUUAGUGGGGGACAACAUCUCGAAAGGGAUGCUAAUACCGCAUACGUCCUACGGGAGAAAGCAGGGGAUCUUCGGACCUUGCGCUAAUAGAUGAGCCUAAGUCGGAUUAGCUAGUCGGUGGGGUAAAGGCCUACCAAGGCGACGAUCUGUAGCGGGUCUGAUAGGAUGAUCCGCCACACUGGGACUGAGACACGGCCCAGACUCCUGCGGGAUGCAGCAGUGGGGAAUAUUGGACAAUGGGGGGAACCCUGAUCCAGCCAUGCCGCGUGUGUGAAGAAGGCCUUAUGGUUGUAAAGCACUUUAAGCGAGGAGGAGGCUACUCUAGUUAAUACCUAGGGAUAGUGGACGUUACUCGCAGAAUAAGCACCGGCUAACUCUGUGCCAGCCGCCGCGGUAA
rnacentral:rRNA from 1 species